CAGCAGCCGCGGUAAUACGGAGGGUGCAAGCGUUAAUCGGAAUUACUGGGCGUAAAGCGCACGCAGGCGGUCUGACAAGUCAGAUGUGAAAUCCCCGGGCUUAACCUGGGAACUGCAUUUGAAACUGUCAGGCUGGAGUCUUGUAGAGGGGGGUGGAAUUCCAGGUGUAGCGGUGAAAUGCGUAGAGAUCUGGAGGAAUACCGGUGCGAAGGCGGCCCCCUGGACAAAGACUGACGCUCAGGUGCGAAAGCGUGGGGAGCAAACAGGAUUAGAUACCCGCGUAGUCCCUGUCUCUUAUACC
rnacentral:rRNA from 1 species